UGGGGAAUCUUGCGCAAUGGGCGAAAGCCUGACGCAGCGACGCCGCGUGCGGGAUGACGGCCUGGUUGUAACCGCUUUCAGCAGGGACGGAGGCCGCAAGGUGACGGUACCUGCAGAAGAAGCCCCGGCUAACUACGUGCC
rnacentral:rRNA from 1 species